GCAAACCGACACAGGUAGUCAAGAUGAGAAUUCUAAGGUGAGCGAGCGAACUCUCGUUAAGGAACUCGGCAAAAUGACCCCGUAACUUCGGGAGAAGGGGUGCUCUUUAGGGUUAACGCCCAGAAGAGCCGCAGUGAAUAGGCCCAAGCGACUGUUUAUCAAAAACACAGGUCUCUGCUAAACCGUAAGGUGAUGUAUAGGGGCUGACGCCUGCCCGGUGCUGGAAGGUUAAGAGGAGUGGUUAGCUUCUGCGAAGCUACGAAUCGAAGCCCCAGUAAACGGCGGCCGUAACUAUAACGGUCCUAAGGUAGCGAAAUUCCUUGUCGGGUAAGUUCCGACCCGCACGAAAGGCGUAACGAUUUGGGCACUGUCUCAACGAGAGACUCGGUGAAAUCAUAGUACCUGUGAAGAUGCAGGUUACCCGCGACAGGACGGAAAGACCCCGUGGAGCUUUACUGUAGCCUGAUAUUGAAAUUCGGCACAGCUUGUACAGGAUAGGUAGGAGCCUUUGAAACGUGAGCGCUAGCUUACGUGGAGGCGCUGGUGGGAUACUACCCUAGCUGUGUUGGCUUUCUAACCCGCACCACUUAUCGUGGUGGGAGACAGUGUCAGGCGGGCAGUUUGACUGGGGCGGUCGCCUCCUAAAAGGUAACGGAGGCGCUCAAAGGUUCCCUCAGAAUGGUUGGAAAUCAUUCAUAGAGUGUAAAGGCAUAAGGGAGCUUGACUGCGAGACCUACAAGUCGAGCAGGGUCGAAAGACGGACUUAGUGAUCCGGUGGUUCCGCAUGGAAGGGCCAUCGCUCAACGGAUAAAAGCUACCCCGGGGAUAACAGGCUUAUCUCCCCCAAGAGUUCACAUCGACGGGGAGGUUUGGCACCUCGAUGUCGGCUCAUCGCAUCCUGGGGCUGUAGUCGGUCCCAAGGGUUGGGCUGUUCGCCCAUUAAAGCGGUACGCGAGCUGGGUUCAGAACGUCGUGAGACAGUUCGGUCCCUAUCCGUCGUGGGCGUAGGAAAUUUGAGAGGAGCUGUCCUUAGUACGAGAGGACCGGGAUGGACAUACCUCUGGUGUACCAGUUGUCGUGCCAACGGCAUAGCUGGGUAGCUAUGUGUGGACGGGAUAAGUGCUGAAAGCAUCUAAGCAUGAAGCCCCCCUCAAGAUGAGAUUUCCCAACUUCGGUUAUAAGAUCCCUCAAAGAUGAUGAGGUUAAUAGGUUCGAGGUGGAAGCAUGGUGACAUGUGGAGCUGACGAAUACUAAUCGAUCGAAGACUUAAUCAA
rnacentral:rRNA from 2 species